rnacentral:rRNA from 1 species
UACGGGGGGGGCAAGCGUUGUUCGGAAUUACUGGGCGUAAAGGGCUCGUAGGCGGCCAACUAAGUCAGACGUGAAAUCCCUCGGCUUAACCGGGGAACUGCGUCUGAUACUGGAUGGCUUGAAUCCGGGAGAGGGAUGCGGAAUUCCAGGUGUAGCGGUGAAAUGCGUAGAUAUCUGGAGGAACACCGGUGGCGAAGGCGGCAUCCUGGACAAAAACUGACGCUGAGGCGCGAAAGCUAGGGGAGCAAACAGG